UACGUAGGGUGCGAGCGUUAAUCGGAAUUACUGGGCGUAAAGCGUGCGCAGGCGGUCUGUUAAGACCGAUGUGAAAUCCCCGGGCUUAACCUGGGAACUGCAUUGGUGACUGGCAGGCUUUGAGUGUGGCAGAGGGAGGUAGAAUUCCACGUGUAGCAGUGAAAUGCGUAGAGAUGUGGAGGAAUACCGAUGGCGAAGGCAGCCUCCCUGGGCCAACACUGACGCUCAUGCACGAAAGCGUGGGAGCAAACAGG
rnacentral:rRNA from 1 species